rnacentral:sRNA from 1 species
ACGCAGGGGGCUGGCCUGCCCGCGGCGCGGGGGAAAGUUGAGUUGGGAGAAGUUGGAAGCGGCGGGGGCGCGCCCCGGGGUGGGCACGGGGCAGUCGUCGGGAGCGCGCGAGUGCGCCGGAGGACAGGGAGAGACCCCGAGACCCCCGGGGCACGAAGUCCAGAGCGAGCGGGUUAUGCCUCCGCCUCAUUGCCCUGAAAGCCGCAGCGACAGCGAAAAGGGCUAAGAUUCGGCCAUGAGCAGCGCCCCCCGGCGCCCCGCCAAGGGCGCAGAUUCUUUCUGCACGCCAGAGCCAGAGAGCUUGGGCCCUGGGAUGCCUGGGUUCCCUGAGCAGGAGGAAGACGAACUUCACCGCACCCUGGGCGUGGAGCGGUUUGAGGAGAUCCUACAGGAGGCCGGGUCUCGCGGAGGGGAGGAGCCAGGCCGCAGCUAUGGGGAGGAAGACUUUGAGUGUGAGGGGGCAGACAGGGGAGGGGGAGGCAGGGGGAUCAGGUUUGACCGUCCAGCAAAGAAGGGACUGGGGUUCUAGUGGGAGGAGUGGGGCUAGGGGCAGGAUGGCAGGGGAGGGACACUGUGCCUGCCACAGCCAAGUCCCCCUCCUCCCUGCAGACCACCGCCAGUCCUCCCACCACAUCCAUCACCCACUGUCCACCCACCUGCCUCCGGAUGCACGCCGCCGCAAGACACCCCAGGGCCCAGGACGGAAGCCUCGAAGGCGCCCGGGAGCCUCCCCGACUGGAGAAACCCCCACCAUUGAGGAGGGGGAGGAAGAUGAGGAUGA